CAGUUGAUAUUUGUUUGAAGUAGAGAUAAAACUUAACCGCUUUUAUAUUAUGUUGAAAAUAAAGUGUACAUUUCUUUCGUAAUACAUUGUCUUUCUUUUCUUUGAAGAAAUCUCUAAACGACUGCGACAAUUUUUGAUGCCCAUUACAUAACGCAGAAGCGAUGAGUAAAGUGUUAAUUGUUGGUAUACUGGCGUGUCUAUCGGCUACCAUUAUCGGUAUUAUAAGUACAGCUAUUCCGUACUGGGAAUAUCUACAUGGCAGUUUCCUUGGUCAAGAGGGUACACUUAAUAUCGGAUUAUGGAGAACAUGCAUAAAAUAUAAAACAAUCGUUGCGAGUAGGUCCGCAUGUGCUGAUACACAAAUUGACAAAGACUGGUGGAAAGCGGUCCAGUCCUUGAUGCUAUUGGGAAAUGGGGUUUUGGCACUGAGUACUCUCCUCGGCUGUCUAUAUUACAAAACCAACGCACAAAGUUAUGUGCAAGGCACUGUUUUCACGGCUUUACUCGGAGGUAUUAUGCUCAUCACAGCAGUAAUCGUGUUUGAGUGGAGGAAAAGGAGCAUAAAUCAUCUUUCAGUGCGAGUUUCAUCUUAACCAUCGUAUCUGGGGUGCUGGCGUUCAUUGCUGGAGGACUUGUGGGUAUUUCAAAGCAAGGUCAUCCAGGAUACAGCUCUAUCUAACCCACAUCAGAGAGCGAUUAACUGAACAUUAUUUAUUUCUACGUAGUUUUCUCUUCCAGUCAGCGAUUCGCAUUUUUUUAAAGUGACCUUUUAUUAUAUUACCUUAAUGGAUGCAAUAUAUUCCAUACUGGACGAUGUGACAAAGCAACUUUAGUUCAUAUCGCCAUGUUAACUAAACGGUUGAGCCAUGAAUCGAUAAAAAUAUUCGCAUGACGUUUAAAUAAACCCUUGGCGGUGUAUUGAUAUCCUUUGUUUACUGAGGAAUAUAAACAUAAAAUAAAGUACUAGUAUAUAGCAUUUCCAAGUUCAAUGGAAAAAAUUCGAUCCAAACGUGGAGAACUACCUUAAAGUAAUAAAAAAGCGGAAACCCACAGGUCGCCCAAAACGAAAAUGUUGCAGGCUCGGUUUGAAUACUCAGCCACGAAGAAGUCUGUUAAAAGCUAAGAAAAUCUGCAAGUAGGGCUGUUGGAGCAAUGUACAUUUGUAUAUGGAGAAUAAAAGUGUUGGAGGUAUGUCAGUUCAUGUGUAAAAAUGGUGUAAAACUGUUGUUGAGCCCAUUCUCUUCUUCUACAGUGCUGGUAUAUGGGGUUACAGAAAACUUCAAGAUGUUGACUUUUUUAAUAAGGCGGAACGUUCAUUUCUGGGUGUAGGUGAAAAUGCUUCAUGGAGACUUGAACAGCUGCAUCCAAGUAGCAGGCCGAUGUGAUCGGAUUG